UAAAUUUCAUUUAGGAUAAAUGGAGUCUAUUUUGCACCUUCAACAACUCCCAUCAGUGACGUGUUAGAAGAGAUGACUGGCUUCCCCGGCGGCCUCUCACCAGCUGUGGACCCCGAGACUGCCCGGAACCUGCAGAGAUGGGGAUGUAAAAUUCCAUGUGAAAGGAUUUCAGAACAGUUAMACCUGUGACCCUGAAACCAGGACAACCACUCCCACACCAUCCUCAUUGCCGCUCUUGGAGAGGACGAGGGUUGCUAAUGCCUCUGCAACACGUCACACAGAAAGCACCACGAGGAAGAGGAGGGCUCAGCAUGUGCUUGGACUUCGUGGCCAGCUCUAGACCAGAAGAAGAGGCACUGAGAACUGCUGAGAAACGUCAGAUCCCGGGGACUGCUGGAGCUGCAGCAACUUCAGCCUGCCAGGAGCAAGUGUGUUUGUUGACACUGCAACCAGGCACUUGAGGUGCUGCUCUCCAAACUCUGAACAACGUGAGCUGCAACAGUUGCUCCCUUCUCACAGACUCUUGGCAAGCCUCAGUCAACUUGUGAAGAGGGAAAGAGGGAAGAAGAGAGUCUGCGAUUGCCCUUGACAGAGCCCAGACAGCCCUGGGAUACGGGGCUUCUCUGAAAAAUCUACAUCUGCAGUAUCCCCCAUUGCAAGAUCUCCACAAAGGGCAGGAUGAGCAGYACCCAGGACGACGUCUAAGACGAGUGAGCAAUCCUCUACAUACGCAUCCCUGCACUGCAUGGRCAUGCCAAGAGCUGCUGUUCCUGCCC